rnacentral:rRNA from 1 species
AGUUAAAAUUAUAGCCAAACAAACCUAAACUACCAAAAAACAAAACAAACCAUUUAAUUUAAUAGUAUGGGCGAUAGAAAUUUAUUAUGAGCAAUAAAAAAAGUACCGUAAGGGAAAGAUGAAAUAAAAAUGAAAUAAAUAAUAAAAACAAAAAAAAGAAAAGGCUAAACCCUGUACCUUUUGCAUAAUGGUCUAGCAAGUCCAACCUAACAAAAAGAAAUAAAGUUAGCCACCCCGAAACUAGACGAGCUACUUAAGAGCAGCAUUAACCAGAGCCAACCCGUCUCUGUGGCAAAAGAGUGGGAUGACUUUUGAGUAGAGGUGAAAAGCCUAACGAGCCUAGUGAUAGCUGGUUACUUGAGAAAUGAAUAUUAGUUCAGCUUAAAGCAUCUUUAUUAUUAAAAAAUAAAAAUAGCACUUUAAAGUUAAUUAAUAGGGGUACAGCCCUAUUAAUAAAGGAUACAACCUACAUAAUGAAUAAAGAUUAUAUUAACAAAAGAAAUUAACCGCGUAGGCCUAAAAGCAGCCACCACAAGAAAGCGUCAAAGCUCAACUUAACAACCCCCCUUAUUAUACUAAUAAAAAAUCUAAAUUCACAAAACAUAUCAAGCCCAUCUACUAGUAGAUAAGUUUAUACUAGAAUGAGUAACAAGAACAAAUUCUCUACAUGCAAGCGUAAAUCAGAACGAAAGUAUCACUGAUAAUUAACAACUUUAAAUACCCAACAACAAGAAAAACACAUUAAAACAAUUGUUAACCCAACACAGGAGCAUAAAAAAAGAUUUAAAGAUUAAAAAGGAACUCGGCAACCAUAGAGCUCCGCCUGUUUACCAAAAACACCGCCUCUUGCCCUCCCAAUAUAAGAGGUCCCGCCUGCCCAGUGAUUAAUUUUAACGGCCGCGGUAUCAUGACCGUGCAAAGGUAGCGUAAUCACUUGUCUUUUAAAUAAAGACCUGUAUGAAAGGCAAAACGAAAGCUCAACUGUCUCUUUAAUCUAAUCAGU